rnacentral:rRNA from 1 species
UACAGAGGUCCCAAGCGUUGUUCGGAUUCACUGGGCGUAAAGGGUGCGUAGGCGGGUCUUUUAAGUCAGGGGUGAAAUCCUGGAGCUCAACUCCAGAACUGCCUUUGAUACUGAAGAUCUUGAGUUCGGGAGAGGUGAGUGGAACUGCGAGUGUAGAGGUGAAAUGACGCAGAUAUCAGGAGGAACACCGGUGGCGAAGGCGGGGUCUCUGGGCCGAUACUGACGCUGAGGAGCGAAAGCGUGGGGAGCGAACAGG